CCGAUAGUCCCCCAAAUACAUCAGAAUCACUAGGGGGUUGUCUGUUUACUUGUUUUUUCUGCCCCCCCAUCAUAUUGUCAUCAUUGUUCAUGCUGCAUCCCCAAUGCUUGGCACAAAGCAACUGUUCAAUAAAUAUUAAUUAUUAAUUAAGUGGAUGGAAGGAAGGGUAUUAAGUCACUGGCUUACCACAGGGAAAUUCUAUAGCAGUGGUUCUUAAAGUGCGUUCAGGGGCUCACCCGCAGGCGCAUCAUUGAGGAACUUGUUAGAAUGGGAGAUUCUUGGGCCCCACCUCAGAAUCAGAGACUCAGGAUAUCUGAACAAGCCUUUUAGGUGAUUCUGUUUUGUAGCAAGUUUAUGUUCCCAGAAAUGCCUUGGCCACAGUCACAAAUAAAACUAGUUCCUGCAACUGAACUACACACCCCUUAGCAGCCUUGUGGAAAAACCACUGGAAAACAUCUUAUCUGCUGCUGUUUCAAAAAUGUUGCCUGUAGGUUGCAGAAAUACAGCAGCCUCUAGAGUUUAGAAAAGGGGAUGCAACCAGAAGUGUCUCCCCACCAAGCUCUCCCAGCCACCCCCACCCUAACCUCCAUGCCCCCAUGCAAGAGUCCUCACAGUCCUGCCCAUAUAGGGACCCCUACAGCUGAGUACAGGUGCCAGUUUUGAAAAAGGCACUUCCAAGUCCUUCUUGAGGGAAAGGAGGAGAGGAAUGAAGGGCUCCGGGGCUGGACAAGGGACAGAUGUGACCCCGAGGUCUCGGGCUGGGAAGAUUCUUCUUCUUUUCUUUUCUUUUUUUUUUUUUUUUUAAGAUUUUUNCAGAGAGAGGCAGAGACACAGGCCAAGGGAGAAGCAGGCUCCCUGCGGGGACCCCGAUGCGGGACUCGAUCCCCCGCCCGCGGAUCAGUCUGAGCCGAAGCAGCCGCUCACCACUGAGCCACCCAGGCGCCCCCGGGAGGACUCGGCCAGGGCAGUCCCGGCUGGGCGCAGCUCUUCGAGCCUCGGUUUGCCAUCUGUGAAAUGGGGUCGGCAGUGCCUUUCGCCCAGCUGCGGGGGACUUGAGCGCCAACCCAGACGGCAGCCAGGGGCGCGACGGCCCCGGGGAGGACGCGGGGGGCCCGCGGGCGCUACCCCACCGGCCCGCCCAGGCCGAAGCCCUUUCACCGACCCGGGAACACCUGCCCUCGGAAUCCUGGGGAACCUCCAGGGCUUCUCACGCGGCCGAGAAGAAAGUGAGGACCCCUCCCUCCCCCAGGAAGCCCACUCAGUGAUCCGAACAAACAACAAACCACAACAAGCCCAGAGCUGCCUGAGCUGCUCCAAGCGGGGCGCAACCCCCCUCGCCCCCCACCCCCCAGCCCCAGCUCCGAGUUACACUUUGCAGACACCCAGCCCGGCCCAGUUCCCCAGCCCGGCCCUGGCCCCCCGGGGCCCCUCCGGUCCCCAGGGCCGACCUAACUGGGCAGCUCCUCCAUCCCGGGGGGGGG
rnacentral:lncRNA from 1 species